UACGGGAGGCAGCAGUGGGGAAUAUUGCACAAUGGGCGCAAGCCUGAUGCAGCCAUGCCGCGUGUAUGAAGAAGACCUUCGGGUUGUAAAGUACUUUCAGUCGUGAGGAAGGUGUUAAGGUUAAUAACCUUAGCAAUUGACGUUAGCGACAGAAGAAGCACCGGCUAACUCCGUGCCAGCAGCCGCGGUAAUACGGAGGGUGCGAGCGUUAAUCGGAAUUACUGGGCGUAAAGGGCACGCAGGCGGUUAAUUAAGUUGGAUGUGAAAUCCCCGGGCUUAACCUGGGAAUGGCAUUCAAGCUGGUUAGCUAGAGUCUUGUAGAGGGGGUAGAAUUCCAUGUGUAGCGGUGAAAUGCGUAGAGAUGUGGAGGAAUACCGGUGGCGAAGGCGGCCCCUGGACAAAGGCUGACGCUCAUGUGCGAAAGCGUGGGGAGCAAACG
rnacentral:rRNA from 1 species